rnacentral:rRNA from 1 species
CCUACGGGUGGCAGCAGUGGGGAAUAUUGCACAAUGGGGGGAACCCUGAUGCAGCGACGCCGCGUGGGUGAAGGAGUAUUUCGGUAUGUAAAGCCCUAUCAGCAGGGAAGAACAAUGACGGUACCGGACUAAGAAGCACCGGCUAAAUACGGGCCAGCAGCCGCGGUAAUACGUAUGGUGCAAGCGUUAUCCGGAUUUACGGGGUGGAAAGGGAGCGCAGGCGGCGCGUUAAGCCUGGUGUGAAAGCCCGCGGCCCAACCGCGGGACUGCAUUGGGAACUGGCGCGCUGGAGUGCCGGAGGGGUUGGCGGAAUUCCUAGUGUAGCGGUGAAAUGCGUAGAUAUUAGGAGGAACACCAGUGGCGAAGGCGGCCUACUGGACGGUGACUGACGCUGAGGCUCGAAAGCGUGGGGAGCAAACAGGAUUAGAUACCCGUGUAGUC